CCUACGGGAGGCAGCAGUGAGGAAUAUUGGUCAAUGGGCGAGAGCCUGAACCAGCCAAGUCGCGUGAGGGAGUACUGCCCUAUGGGUUGUAAACCUCUUUUGUCGGGGAGCAAAAGCCGGACGUGUCCGGCUGUGAGAGUACCCGAAGAAAAAGCAUCGGCUAACUCCGUGCCAGCAGCCGCGGUAAUACGGAGGAUGCGAGCGUUAUCCGGAUUUAUUGGGGUUAAGGGGUGCGCAGGCGGAUUUUUAAGUCAGCGGUCAAAUCGUGGGGCUCAACCCCAUCCAGCCGUUGAAACUGGGGAUCUAGAGUGUGCGAGAGGUAUGCGGAAUGCGUGGUGUAGCGGUGAAAUGCAUAGAUAUCACGCAGAACCCCGAUUGCGAAGGCAGCAUACCGGUGCACAACUGACGCUCAGGCACGAAAGCGUGGGUAUCGAACAGGAUUAGAUACCCCUGUAGUC
rnacentral:rRNA from 1 species